rnacentral:rRNA from 1 species
ACCAGUUAUCGUGCCAACGGUAAGCGCUGGGUAGCCAAGUGUAGAGUGGAUAACUGCUGAAAGCAUCUAAGUAGGAAGCCCACCUCAAGAUGAAUACUCUCACCGUUUUAAACGGUUAAGAUCACGGGAAGAACACCCGUUAUAUAGGCACUAAGUGUAAGUACAGUAAUGUAUUCAGCUGAGGUGUACUAACAGAUCGA